rnacentral:rRNA from 1 species
GGGGGCAUUCAGUCGGGAGGCCGCGGACGCACGUUAAAGGAGGCCAGGACCCACGGGGCCGACUUCUCCGAGGACGUGCGCCUUCGCGCGCCGCCCGACGUACUUGUCCUCCCGUCCGAAGGACGCCGCGACCGGUCGGAGAACGGCCUUAAGGGCGGACGAUGGCAGGUGGCCGGCGGAUUCCCGCCGGCUCUUGGCCGGUUUCCGUCACACGGCCCGUGUUCCGACCGAGGUGUCGCGAGACCCCUAGUGGGACUCUUCGCCUCCUCCUCCUGCUUCUGCUGGAUGACCGGAAUCGGCGGCCUCCUCUCCCCACACGCGGGCGCACGGAUACACUCCGUGGCUCGCCGGCCGUGCGGGGGUUUCCAGGCUGGCUGCCUUUUUCGCAGGUUGGAGUGUUGUGCGGUCAGCGGCGAGUAGAUCGGUCACCCACCCGACCCGUCUUGAAACACGGACCAAGGAGUCUAACAUGUGUGCGAGUCAUUGGGGCUUGUGCAGGCCCAGGGGCGCAAUGAAAGCGAAUGAAGGAGCCGAGAGGCUCCGCGUAGAUAUCCUCCAAGAGAGGUGCACCGUCGGCCCGUCCCGUCCGAUUCAUCGGAGGGACGGAGUCCGAGCAUACACGUUGGGACCCGAAAGGUGGUGAACUAUGCCCGGGCAGGACGAAGCCAGAGG